CAGCAACCGCGGUAAUACGGAGGAUCCAAGCGUUAUCCGGAAUCAUUGGGUUUAAAGGGUCCGUAGGCGGUCUUGUAAGUCAGUGGUGAAAGCCCAUCGCUCAACGGUGGAACGGCCAUUGAUACUGCAGGACUUGAAUUAUUGGGAAGUAACUAGAAUAUGUAGUGUAGCGGUGAAAUGCUUAGAGAUUACAUGGAAUACCAAUUGCGAAGGCAGGUUACUACCAAUUGAUUGACGCUGAUGGACGAAAGCGUGGGUAGCGAACAGGAUUAGAUACCCCCGUAGUCCCUGUCUCUUAUAC
rnacentral:rRNA from 1 species